UACGGAGGGUGCAAGCGUUUAUCCGGAUUCACUGGGUUUAAAGGGUGCGUAGGAGGGCAGGUAAGUCAGUGGUGAAAUCUCCGAGCUUAACUUGGAACUGCCGUUGAUACUAUCUGUCUUGAAUAUUUGUGGAGGUGAGCGGAAUAUGUCAUGUAGCGGUGAAAUGCUUAGAUAUGACAUAGAACACCAAUUGCGAAGGCAGCUCGCUACACAUAUAUUGACUCUGAGGCACGAAAGCGUGGGGAUCAAACAGG
rnacentral:rRNA from 1 species